rnacentral:tRNA from 1 species
GGGAGCGUGCCGGAGUGGCCAAACGGGGCAGACUGUAAAUCUGUUGGCUUAACGCCUACGGGGGUUCGAAUCCCUCCGCUCCCA